rnacentral:tRNA from 1 species
GCCCGGGUGGCGGAACUGGUAGACGCAGCGGACUCAAAAUCCGCCGGCCUCGGCCAUGUGGGUUCGAGUCCCACCCCGGGCACCA